rnacentral:rRNA from 1 species
UACGUAGGGUGCAAGCGUUGUCCGGAAUCAUUGGGCGUAAAGCGCGCGUAGGCGGCCCGAUAAGUCCGCUGUAAAAGUCAACGGCUCAACCGUUGAAAGCCGGUGGAUACUGUCGGGCUAGAGUACGGAAGAGGCAAGUGGAAUUCCUGGUGUAGCGGUGGAAUGCGCAGAUAUCAGGAGGAACACCUAUAGCGAAGGCAGCUUGCUGGGACGUUACUGACGCUAAGGCGCGAAAGCGUGGGGAGCGAACAGG